CCUACGGGUGGCUGCAGUGGGGAAUAUUGGACAAUGGGGGCAACCCUGAUCCAGCCAUGCCGCGUGUGUGAAGAAGGCCCUCGGGUUGUAAAGCACUUUCAGUGAGGAAGAACGCCUGGUGGUUAAUACCCAUCAGGAAAGACAUCACUCACAGAAGAAGCACCGGCUAACUCCGUGCCAGCAGCCGCGGUAAUACGGAGGGUGCGAGCGUAAAUCGGAAUUACUGGGCGUAAAGCGCGCGUAGGUGGCUUGAUAAGCCGGUUGUGAAAGCCCCGGGCUCAACCUGGGAACGGCAUCCGGAACUGUCAAGCUAGAGUGCAGGAGAGGAAGGUAGAAUUCCCGGUGUAGCGGUGAAAUGCGUAGAGAUCGGGAGGAAUACCAGUGGCGAAGGCGGCCUUCUGGACUGACACUGACACUGAGGUGCGAAAGCGUGGGUAGCAAACAGGAUUAGAUACCCUGGUAGUC
rnacentral:rRNA from 1 species